AUACGGGGGGGGCAAGCGUUAUUCGGAAUUAUUGGGCGUAAAGCGCACGUAGGCGGCUUGACAAGUCAAAUGGUGAAAUCCCUCGGCUCAACCGAGGAACUGCCUUUGAAACUGUCAGGCUUGAGGCCGGGAGAGGGUAGCGGAAUUCCCAGUGUAGCGGUGAAAUGCGUAGAUAUUGGGAGGAACACCGGUGGCGAAGGCGGCUACCUGGACCGGUUCUGACGCUGAGGUGCGAAAGCGUGGGUAGCAAACAGGAUUAGAAACCCUAGUAGUCC
rnacentral:rRNA from 1 species